UUCUUAUUCAUUUUGGCAAGCAUUAUGUGGACUUUACACUACGCUGUCGAUAUGUGUUUUCAGAUGUAUGAAAUUGAGUGUCCUAUCGUAUCUUAUCAUAUUGUGGCUUGGCUGACACCAAUUGAUAUUUUGGCAGCUGUCUUAAUACUAGGUUGGGGGCAUUGGUCUAAGCCCUGCCUUGAUGUUUAUGAUAAAAAACUUGUGUCAAGGAUGCUGUUUAAAUCACCUUUAUUUAUUAUUUUUGUUGUUAAUCCAGCUCUUUUUUU